UCUUUCUGUCUCUCUCUCUCUCUCUCUCUUUCCGUCUCCGAAGUGCGGAGUGAGAGAGAGAGAGAGAGAGAGAGACAGAGAGA